GUACUUUGUACAACAAUUGUUGUACUUUAAAAGUACAAUAAUUUCCUGUUUAAAAAAAAUUGCCAGGAAUUUGUGUACUUUUGUUGUGGUGUUUUUCUUGCAGUGUGUGCAGGCUGGGCUCGCUUCGGAGUUGUGGUUCGUCCGUAUGGUCUCGUAAUCGCGGUUGGGUACGGGUACGGGUACUCCUCUCCCCGCGCAUCCGCGUUCAAGCCCCUGGGCUGCAAGACAGCCUUCUGAUGCACCGGAGGGCUGCUUGUGCCUCGGGGGCUCGCGGUGCGUCAGUGGGAGCAGGAGUGCAGGUGAGUUCCGCCCUGGCAAAACGACUGUUUGAGUUCGCACGCAUUCGACCCGCCUGCAGCCGCCAAGGUAAACCGCAUCCGAUGUGCCCAGUGUGCUUUUUGCGCUAUUCGCCUUUCGUGGUGCUGAACACAGGACGUUCAACCUUACGUCGGGUCUGCAUGUGGCAUGCACCCUCAAUGCACCGGGUGCAUUAGGUGCACUGCUGCUGUGGGCCCGAGAGGGAAGCCUGGGAAUGGGGUACACCGCUACUCUCUAAGGACGGUCUCUGAGCCGCGGACUGCAGAAUGGACGUAACUUACUCUGCAGUCCGCGGCUCGAAUCCCGUGCAAAGAGAAAUUGGGUUUAUCACCCUGCCUGCAUGCAGCCCCGCUGAGGCUUUGCACCGUUGUUUCUCUUUCGCACUGCUUCUUCGCACUCGAUGUUUACCGCGAUGCUUUCAGAACCCUGUACACUGUUUCAGAGGACGGCGCGCGAACUGCCCGGUACUUGCCACCAGCUUGUCAGUGUGAGCGCCGGAAGGGAGGUCUCUGGAGCGGCUUCGGAUUUCGAGCCAGUCGCAGUCUUGGUCUGAUCCCCAGAGCGUGGCCAGUCCAGCGACCGCACCAGCAACUCGUAGGUGACAUUUUUACUGAGCUCUGGCGGCACUACAUGAACGGACGACACGCCAUCCCGAGAUAUUCGUCGUCAGUUCACCAGCUUACUCCCCAAUGCGUGCCCAGGCGCCAGAGCUGCGGGAAAGCCUCCAGCGCCCUACAGGUGGCUGCAAGGGGAGUGCUGAAUCUGUUCGCUUGAGUGUUGUGAUUCCACCAAGUCUACUCCAACUCGUCACAUCAAUAACCCUGACAACUUUGCCAUAAGGGUUCUUCAAAGACCAUCGAACCAUUCUGGAGCUGGAUCGUGUCGUCUGGAUCAUGUUCCAAAAGAGAUGACAACACUUCGGGACUGCUUCAGGCUCCUUCUCCUCCAACGGCUUUGCUUGGGCUGCUUUCACAGUGACAUUUUCCCCGCAUAAUGUGUUUCCGUGUAGUCCAUAUUCAAACAAAGCCUGUAGCUUUUAUGUUUGAAUGUAAGUGUUAGUGGCUUUUGAUUACAGUGAUCACAACUAUUUACUUGAGAUAUCAUGGGGUAAAGUAUAAAAUUUAUUGGAUUAUAUCAGUGUACCGAAGGGUAUCAUAUUAGUCUGAUGCUCAGUAUUUCUUGUUGAAUGUGGCCAGAGAUAAUUGUAAAGAUUAUUAUUUCUUAACAUUGGCUGGGUGAGUGCCGUCUUUCUGUCUUAUCUUGCUGCCCAGGACCUCCUGUCUCUGUUGAACUUGGGGCAGAUAAAGAUUGAGUAAUAAUCUCUUUUGUUUUAAUUAUUCAAGGGGAGUUGACAAUUUUUCCUGGCAAAGACACUCAAUUUCAGAUAAAAUUGUUUAUGCUGAACAAUGGUUCAUUUAUUUAGCAACUGUAGUCCUUGUUUAGUUGGAAGCUUCUUGGUAUUUAUGGGAAACUUGAAUUUCAAACUGGUAAUGCAACCGUUUUUAAGAAUUUUUAGUGAAAGAUUGCACUCAGAGUUUGAGCAACAGUAGUAACUUAACAAGAAUAGAGGCAUGGGUUUCUUUGGUUUGUUUCCAAGAGGGCUACAUUCUGACUCAUGAUUAUUUUGAAAUGUUUGUAAGAUAGCAUUUUUAGAACAGAUUUUGUCAGUUACUUAUGGGAUUAGAAGGGGAGCAGGAAGUGUGGGUGGGGAAUGCAAGUAAAAUGUAUACUAGUGUCCUAUUUUCUGCCCAUCACCCUGCAUUAUGUUUGUUCCUUUUUUUCCCCUGUCAAAGCAACCUUUAGAAUGUUUGGUUUAGUUUGUUCGUUCAAUAUGUAUUUGUAUCUGACUUUAGGGUAUAUUUAGUAUUUGAUGUGAAUGUUAAAUUGUGGUGACAAUUCAUCUUAUUUCAGUCCUUAUGUAUUACUCCUGUUAUAUUUCUGGCUUCAAGCAAGAAUUAUUGAACUGAAUUGAAACUUAACUAGUGGGGUAGUGAGAUCCAAUCCCUCAGCAAAAUGACUUAUGUUUCUAUUUUCUCUGUGCCUUUCUUUGCUAUGCCUCUGUACUGAAGCAUUGUAUGUAUUGCUCCCUGCCUUGUUAAAGUAUAAUUUUUAUUUUGUUUUUGUCAUACACAUUGCAACACACCCUUGAUGGAGUACAUGAAGUGUCAGCAUGUAUAAAGUAAUGUGUCAAUUCCACUGCUGAGCAAGUGAGCAUAUUGAUUCUCUGGUGUACACUGCUUUGUGUCACCAGUAUUUGAGGCGUCGUAACUUGAUCUGUAUGUAGGGGUGGUGACAAAUUUUUGUAUUUGUAUUUAUUGCGGUAAAAAUUUACAUGAUUUACAUAAGUUUUUACGCAAGUCAAGAACAAAGUGCAAAGCACAGCACCACGAUUGGAAGAUAGAAAAUAUAAAGUCGCCUCAGCAGUUUCAGAGAAAGUUUUCAAAGGUCAUCCAGACUAUUCGGCUCUUUUUUGCAUGAGGAACUUUUUGAGAACAUUUUUAAAGAUUUUGGGUUUGUCUCUCAUAUCCUUAAUUUCU